GCCAGGCGUGGUGGUGGGCGCCUGUAAUCCCAGCUACUCGGGAGGCUGAGGCAGGAGAAUCGCUUGAACCCGGGAGGUUGCAGUGAGCCGAGAUUGCGCCACUGCACUCCAGCCUGGGUGACAGAGCGAGACUCCGCCUCAA
ensembl:misc_RNA Metazoa_SRP Metazoan signal recognition particle RNA